rnacentral:rRNA from 1 species
CAGUAGCCGCGGUAAUACGUAGGGCGCAAGCGUUAUCCGGAAUUAUUGGGCGUAAAGAGCUCGUAGGCGGUUUGUCGCGUCUGCCGUGAAAGUCCGGGGCUCAACCCCGGAUCUGCGGUGGGUACGGGCAGACUAGAGUGAUGUAGGGGAGACUGGAAUUCCUGGUGUAGCGGUGAAAUGCGCAGAUAUCAGGAGGAACACCGAUGGCGAAGGCAGGUCUCUGGGCAUUAACUGAUGCUGAGGAGCGAAAGCAUGGGGAGCGAACAGGAUUAGAUACCCCCGUAGUCCCUGUCUCUUAUAA